rnacentral:rRNA from 1 species
GACGAACGCUGGCGGCGUGCCUAAUACAUGCAAGUCGAGCGAACCAAUAAGAAGCUUGCUUUUUGUUGGUUAGCGGCGGACGGGUGAGUAACACGUGGGUAACCUGCCUGUAAGACCGGGAUAACUCCGGGAAACCGGUGCUAAUACCGGAUAGAUUAUCUUUCCGCAUGGAGAGAUAAGGAAAGAUGGCUAUUGCCAUCACUUACAGAUGGGCCCGCGGCGCAUUAGCUAGUUGGUGAGGUAACGGCUCACCAAGGCGACGAUGCGUAGCCGACCUGAGAGGGUGAUCGGCCACACUGGGACUGAGACACGGCCCAGACUCCUACGGGAGGCAGCAGUAGGGAAUCUUCCGCAAUGGACGAAAGUCUGACGGAGCAACGCCGCGUGAGCGAAGAAGGUCUUCGGAUCGUAAAGCUCUGUUGUUAGGGAAGAACAAGUAUCGGAGGAAAUGCCGGUACCUUGACGGUACCUGACGAGAAAGCCGCGGCUAACUACGUG